UACGGGGGGGGUAAGCGUUGUUCGGAAUUACUGGGCGUAAAGGGCUCGUAGGCGGCCAACUAAGUCAGACGUGAAAUCCCACGGCUCAACCGUGGAACUGCCUUAGAUACUGACGGCCUCGAGGAAGGUAGGGGCAUGCGGAACUGUAGGUGGAGCGGUGAAAUGCGUUGAUAUCUACAGGAACUCCGGUGGCGAAAGCGGCGUGCUGGACCUUUUCUGACGCUGAGGCGCGAAAGCUAGGGGAGCAAACGGG
rnacentral:rRNA from 1 species